CAGAGAUUAGUUUAAUUAAAAUAUUAAUUUUGGAGAUUAAUGAUGAGGGUAAAUUCUUCUUCUCUGA
rnacentral:tRNA from 1 species